AGAGUUUGAUCCUGGCUCAGGAUGAACGCUGGCGGCGUGCUUAACACAUGCAAGUCGAACGAACCUUCGGGUUAGUGGCGGACGGGUGAGUAACGCGUGAGAAUCUGCCCUCAGGAGGGGGAUAACGGCUGGAAACGGCCGCUAAUACCCCAUAUGCCGAGAGGUGAAAUGAAUUUCGCCUGAGGAUGAGCUCGCGUCUGAUUAGCUAGUUGGUGGGGUAAGAGCCUACCAAGGCAUCGAUCAGUAGCUGGUCUGAGAGGAUGAUCAGCCACACUGGGACUGAGACACGGCCCAGACUCCUACGGGAGGCAGCAGUGGGGAAUUUUCCGCAAUGGGCGAAAGCCUGACGGAGCAACGCCGCGUGAGGGAUGAAGGCCUCUGGGCUGUAAACCUCUUUUAUCAAGGAAGAAGAUCUGACGGUACUUGAUGAAUAAGCCACGGCUAAUUCCGUGCCAGCAGCCGCGGUAAUACGGGAGUGGCAAGCGUUAUCCGGAAUUAUUGGGCGUAAAGCGUCCGCAGGCGGCCUGAUAAGUCUGUUGUCAAAGCGUGGAGCUUAACUCCAUUUCGGCAAUGGAAACUGUGAGGCUUGAGUGUGGUAGGGGCAGAGGGAAUUCCCGGUGUAGCGGUGAAAUGCGUAGAUAUCGGGAAGAACACCAGUGGCGAAGGCGCUCUGCUGGGCCAUAACUGACGCUCAUGGACGAAAGCCAGGGGAGCGAAAGGGAUUAGAUACCCCUGUAGUCCUGGCCGUAAACGAUGAACACUAGGUGUCGGGGGAAUCGACCCCCUCGGUGUCGUAGCCAACGCGUUAAGUGUUCCGCCUGGGGAGUACGCACGCAAGUGUGAAACUCAAGGAAUUGACGGGGGCCCGCACAAGCGGUGGAGUAUGUGGUUUAAUUCGAUGCAACGCGAAGAACCUUACCAGGGUUUGACAUCCUGCGAAUCCCUUGGAAACUUGGGAGUGCCUUCGGGAGCGCAGAGACAGGUGGUGCAUGGCUGUCGUCAGCUCGUGUCGUGAGAUGUUGGGUUAAGUCCCGCAACGAGCGCAACCCACGUCUUUAGUUGCCAGCAUUGAGUUGGGCACUCUAGAGAGACCGCCGGUGAUAAACCGGAGGAAGGUGUGGAUGACGUCAAGUCAUCAUGCCCCUUACAUCCUGGGCUACACACGUACUACAAUGCUACGGACAAAGGGCAGCAAACUCGCGAGAGCUAGCAAAUCCCAUAAACCGUGGCUCAGUUCAGAUCGUAGGCUGCAACUCGCCUACGUGAAGGAGGAAUCGCUAGUAAUCGCAGGUCAGCAUACUGCGGUGAAUACGUUCCCGGGCCUUGUACACACCGCCCGUCACACCAUGGAAGUUGGCCACGCCCGAAGCCGUUACUCCAACCCUUGUGGAGGAGGACGUCGAAGGUGGGGCUGAUGACUGGGGUGAAGUCGUAACAAGGUA
rnacentral:rRNA from 1 species